UCUCCUCGCAGGACCCCUAUUUGUGACCAAUUGUAAGAUCAUCUGAAGAUCGAGUCCGAUUGCCUGGCCAGGCCGGGCUGGGUGGUAUGUGCCCCCGUCACGCCGGAGGUUCCUGCUUUAGCGACGCCAAAGAUUGGGUGUGAGGGCAGCCCGCGGUGACAGAGACACGGAUCGGACCGAGAGAAAAAGGCUGUGGGCUUCACUGAGCAGAGUGACGGCUGGAGUGCAAUGGAGGGAUCUUGGCUCACUGCAACCUCUACCUCCCAGGUUCAAGCAGUUCUCCUGCCUCCACCUCUAGAGUAGCUGGGAUUACAGGCACGUGCCACCACACUCGGCUAAUUUUUGUAUUUUUAGUAGAGACAAGGCUUCACCAUGUUGGCCAGUCUAGUCUCGAACUCCUGACCUCAGGUGAUCUGCCUGCCUCGGCCUUCCAAAGUGCUGGGAUUACAGACAUAAGCCACCUCGCCUGGCCUCUUCUCAUUACUUUCAUGCUGAAAUGUUUUAUAACAUAUACUACAACAAGCAGGAAUAUCAAAUAUCCUGCUUUAGGAUCUCCAUCUCAAAAGAAGAAAAAAAUACCUCCCAACCCUGUGUGACGGUUAAUAUAGAGUGUCAACUUGAUUGGAUUGAAGGAUGCAAAGUAUUGUUCCUGGGUGUUUCUGAGAGGGUGUUGCCAAAGGAGAUUAACAUUUGAGGCAGCGGACUGGGAGAGGCAGACCCACCCUCAAUGUGAGUGGGCACCAUCUAAUCAGCUCCAGCGCUGCUAGGAUAAAGCAGUCAGAGGAACGUGGAAGGAACGUGAGUCUUCUGGCCUCCAUCUCUCCCGUGCUGGAUGCUUCCCGCCCUCAAACAUCGGACUCCAAAUUCUUGAGCUUUUGGACUCUUGGACUUACACCAGUGGUUUGCCAGGGGCUCUCAGUCCUUCAUCCACAGACUGAAAGCUGCACUGUCGGCUACCCUGCUUUUGACGUUUUGGGAGGCAGACUGGUUUCCUUGCUCGUCAGCUUGCAAAUGGCCUAUUGUGGGACUUCCUCUUGUGAUCGUUCAAUUCACAGGACCUCCACAGUGUGCCUUUUGCUGGGUAGGAAAAUGCCAGCCAGCUUGGAAAACAAGAAGACACAUUUAUGUCUACCAUGAGCAUUGGCAUCAGCCAAUUAUCCCACACGUUUUCGGCUAGUCAGUGCUGAAGAGAGCAAGAAUUUCAACCCUUCUUGCUACAUUCAAGACAUAGAAAUCCAGCCAGAAGACAACUCGAGAUAUUUUGUGGAUCUAUGCCUUUCCUUCAGAAAAGCAAAUAUCUACCAUAAAAAAACACUGGUCCAAUAUUCACUUCUAUAAGAAAUGCAGGGGCAAAUAAAUUAUGGAUUUUAUUAUCGCUAAUAGAGUCACUUAACCAUUACUCCUUACUACAUUCUGCUUUUCUAACAAAAUUUCGACUGAAUAUUCUCCCUCAGAGCCUCCAAAAGGAACCAACUGAUGACAACUGAUUUUGGACUUCUGGCCUCCUGAACUAUAACAAAAUAAACAUCUGUUGU
rnacentral:lncRNA from 1 species